rnacentral:rRNA from 1 species
GACAGAGGUGCCGAGCGUUAGGCGGAAUCACUGGGCUUAAAGCGUGUGUAGGCGGACGUCUAAGUACCUUGUGAAAUCCCACGGCUCAACCGUGGAACGGCUUGGUAUACUGGGCGUCUUGAGCCACUUAGGGGUCGUCGGAACAAGCGGUGGAGCGGUGAAAUGCGUAGAUAUCGCUUGGAACGCCAACGGUGAAAACAGGUAGCUGGGGCUGUGCUGACACUGAGACACGAAAGCCAGGGGAGCAAACGGG